rnacentral:rRNA from 1 species
UACGUAGGGUGCGAGCGUUGUCCGGAAUUAUUGGGCGUAAAGAGCUCGUAGGCGGUGUGUCGCGUCGGCCGUGAAAACCUGGGGCUUAACUCUGGGCGUGCGGUCGAUACGGGCAUCACUAGAGUUCGGCAGGGGAGACUGGAAUUCCUGGUGUAGCGGUGAAAUGCGCAGAUAUCAGGAGGAACACCGGUGGCGAAGGCGGGUCUUUGGGCAACAACUGACGCUGAGGAGCGAAAGCGUGGGGAGCGAACAGG